rnacentral:rRNA from 1 species
GGGUUGUGAGGUUAAGCGACUAAGCGUACACGGUGGAUGCCCUGGCAGUCAGAGGCGAUGAAGGGCGUGCUAAUCUGCGAUAAGCGCCGGUAAGGUGAUAUGAACCGUUAUAACCGGCGAUACCCGAAUGGGGAAACCCAGUGUGACUCGUCACACUAUCAUUAACUGAAUCCAUAGGUUAAUGAGGCGAACCGGGGGAACUGAAACAUCUAAGUACCCCGAGGAAAAGAAAUCAACCGAGAUUCCCCCAGUAGCGGCGAGCGAACGGGGAGGAGCCCAGAGCCUGAAUCAGCAUGUGUGUUAGUGGAAGCGUCUGGAAAGGCGCGCGAUACAGGGUGACAGCCCCGUACACAAAAGCGCAUGUGCUGUGAGCUCGAUGAGUAGGGCGGGACACGUGGUAUCCUGUCUGAAUAUGGGGGGACCAUCCUCCAAGGCUAAAUACUCCUGACUGACCGAUAGUGAACCAGUACCGUGAGGGAAAGGCGAAAAGAACCCCGGCGAGGGGAGUGAAAAAGAACCUGAAACCGUGUACGUACAAGCAGUGGGAGCCCCACCACCAAAGCAUUUGCUGUACCGCGUUGACGGAGCGAAGCGACGUCAAACCGAUAAAACAGCAGUGUAAAGUGAGCCGCAGGGCGCUU